UGCUGUGUAAAAAAAAAGAACCAUAGCCAAUGAGGGCUAUCCGAGGCGUGGUUAUUGUUAGUUGAAAACUUUGUAGCACCAGCAUGCUAAAGAUAGCAGUCAAAACAACUGAAAACCACAGUUUACACUUGAACACAAGGACGAAACUGUGG
rnacentral:snRNA from 1 species